CGGGCAGAAGCUCAGUGGUAGAGCUCUCGCUUCGUGUACGGGAAGACGUGGGUUUGAUUCCCGGCUGCUUAC
rfam:Toxocara canis scaffold2, whole genome shotgun sequence.